GACGAACGCUGGCGGCGUGCUUAACACAUGCAAGUCGAACGGUGAAGGGGAGCUUGCUCCCCGGAUCAGUGGCGAACGGGUGAGUAACACGUGAGCAACCUGCCCCAGACUUCGGGAUAACGCUUCGAAAGAGGUGCUAAUACCGGAUACGAACUCCUUGGGCAUCCUGGGAGUUGGAAAGUUUUUCGGUCUGGGAUGGGCCCGCGGCCUAUCAGCUUGUUGGUGAGGUAACGGCUCACCAAGGCGACGACGGGUAGCCGGCCUGAGAGGGCGACCGGCCACACUGGGACUGAGACACGGCCCAGACUCCUACGGGAGGCAGCAGUGGGGAAUAUUGCGCAAUGGGCGAAAGCCUGACGCAGCAACGCCGCGUGAGGGAUGACGGCCUUCGGGUUGUAAACCUCUUUCAGCAGGGAAGAAGCGAAAGUGACGGCACCUGCAGAAGAAGCACCGGCUAACUACGUGCCAGCAGCCGCCGUAA
rnacentral:rRNA from 1 species